UACUACAAUGGCAGGUACAAAGGGCAGCGACACAGCGAUGUGAUGCGAAUCCCGAAAAGCCUGUCUCAGUCCGGAUCGGAGUCUGCAACUCGACUCCGUGAAGUUGGAAUCGCUAGUAAUCGUGGAUCAGCAUGCCACGGUGAAUACGUUCCCGGGCCUU
rnacentral:rRNA from 1 species